UUGACAUUGACAUUAAUUUAUUGAUUGUUUUGUUUAGAUGAAAGGGGAAAUGGAUACCGCGUUUCGCGAAAUUCGUUAAGUAGAAAUAAAAAAGUAAAUAAUAUACUGUGAAAUCCCCACAAAAUAAGAACGAUACUAAAGAAGUGAUAGAUAAAUCAGGACGAUAAGAAAUAACACAAAACACUGAUCUUAUAAGAAUAAUGAAGCAGCGGUUUUACUGCAGCUCCUUGUUAGCAGAUCAUUGAAGGAUUAGUGCACACAAGGAUUCUUUACAGACAAAGCCUUUUGCUGGACAAGACAUAAGUACUUAUAGCCAAGUUAUUGGUGAAGACAUCAAUUACAAGAAUAACUUCAGUGUUGAAUAAAACAAUUGCCUAUCUCCGGUAAUUCCAAAAUCAAAAUUAAUUUGCUUGCAUUGUGUUUCAAGACAAACUCUUUUGAUUCUCAUUAGAAGAGUAUCUACCAAAAUGUAUAGGGCUCGUCAGGAGGAUUCACUGUCUUUCACAAUAACUGAUUGCAUCAUAUGUAUAUCUGGCCCGAUCAUUUGCUUUAUUCUUUUUCUAUACAUACUAAAUAUGUUGAUCCGAUGGGGACAAAGAAUCAUACCUGAAAGGCUUGCCUAAGUAUUUUAAUUUACAAAAGAAGUCAGGUUUUAAUUAUUGAGUUAUUGGCUUACUCAUGUAACUGUUUACGAGACGAGGAACUUGACUAGUUUCAAACCAUGCUAGAGGCCCAUCUCUCGCAUGACUUGUAAACUUGUGUUCCCCGUCAAACAGUUACCUGAGUAAGCUGAUAACUUAAUAUUUAAUUAUAGUAUAGUCAGUCAAAACCUGAGUUUUGAACUGCAUCUUUUUAGUGAUACUUUCUAUAAUUAAGGUUUUAUAUCUGUGACUUCUAUAAAUGGAAAUCUUGGUAUACCGCUCCUUGUAGCCAAAAACUUCGCCUACAGUAUAGGAAAUAUUAUCUUAGAAAGUAAGACUACAUAUUAAACACUUCUUAUCAUACUGUCUAAAGUUGACUUUGAUAGAACAACUUCAAAAACAUGAGAAUGUACGUCUUACAAAUCUUUUUAAAAUAAAUAAAGUAGAAGCAGGCGUUACUUGGGGAAAUCCAUUUUACACUAACAAGUGGAACAAAUAUUUUGUUUUAUUCUGCUGUAGGAAUGUAUUUUAGCAUGAAUCUUUUUAGUAUUGUAUCUAGUUUAUAAGUUUACACUUUUAUUUUGUAUCUUACUGCGAAGAAAAGACUUUAAUAUUAAUUUUUAAGCUUUAUUCUGAUCUCAUGUUGUGGAUGUUCUUUUUGUGAUACAUAUUAAAAAAAUAUAGUAUAUAACUAUAUUUUUAAGGGGGGAUAAGUCAUCAAAUUACCCUACUUGGGCGAGGCGAGAGGGAGUGUUAGACUCUUACUGAUUAAGAACCACCCCGUUCCUACUCUCGUUCAUCAAGCUGGAGCCCCAGUAACCCGCUAGUAAUUUUGAUACUCUGAUUUAAUACUUACAGUAGAUUUAUGUAGACAGUCUCUAACAGUUUACUAUUCCAUAAUACAGAUAGGCAGGAUAAUGUAAUUAAUUUAGAAUCAAUAUAAUCAGUGUAAAAACUAGCCAAUGUAUUAAUAAUUGGCUAGCAAAUGAGUCAACAAUUUAAAGGCAGUGUUUCAAUAUUUUUUUGGUUUUUUGGACAAGUGUAGCAAGUUAAAGUGUUUAUAGAUACAUGAGGCGUCAGGAAUUUGUGACCAGCUCCCUGAUCACCGGUUUACUGCAUAGAUAGGGACCACAACGGGUAGGGGUUAAUAUCAAAGAGUUAGCUAUCGGAGAGGCCAACCAACCUAUGCAGGUAAACAAAAACAGGUCAAGAAAUAUGUCCAGAUCUUUAAGAGGCAUUUAUUUUUAAAAUGAAUUCAUCUAGUGCCAAUAAGUAAGCUAUAAACCUAAGACUAAAUGAAAGUAGGUAUCGUCUGAAAGUUGUGAUAUUAUUGAGUAGGGAAACGGAAUGUGAUGAAAGCCAAAGAUUAGUAGUAAGGGUUGUGGUUCUGCUUACCACUAUGACAUAAGAGCAUGAAUGUAUUUGAAUGAAAUUGAGUGGUAUAAUAGCACAAUUGUUGUUAAGCUGAAGGAUAAAUAUUAUAAUGAAUGUUUUUCUACUGCGAUUUGUAAUCAAUUUUCUUAUAGAUCUCAAAUGAAUGUUUUCUAGUCUUUUAGAUGAUAUUAUUAUGUACGCAUUUAAUGUAAUCUUUUGUAUCCAUUUGUAGACUUAUUACAUUGUAUCAGGUACUUUUAUAAUCUAAUAAAAAAACUAAUAAGUUAAAAAAAUAAUAAAAGGAAA